rnacentral:rRNA from 1 species
UACGGAGGGUGCAAGCGUUAAUCGGAAUUACUGGGCGUAAAGCGUGCGCAGGCGGUUUGUUAAGUCAGAUGUGAAAUCCCCGGGCUCAACCUGGGAAUGGCAUUGGAUACUGGCUCGCUAGAGUGCGGUAGAGGGUGGUGGAAUUCCCGGUGUAGCAGUGAAAUGCGUAGAGAUCGGGAGGAACAUCUGUGGCGAAGGCGGCCACCUGGACCAACACUGACACUGAGGCACGAAAGCGUGGGGAGCAAACAGG